rnacentral:rRNA from 1 species
AUGGCGGCUGAAGGGGCCUCGGGCUCCUCGGGCGCAAGCGAUGUCGAGCGGAUGAUGGCAGAACUUGGGCUGAAGGAAGAAGAUCUUGAUGAUGUGAUCUUUGAUGAGAAAGAUGCGCCUCCACAGGGACCCAGAUGGAUUGCUCUGGCUAGGGUAAACACCUCCAAAUCAUACAGUCAGACGUGGUUCUACAGAAACAUGCGGUCAGCAUGGAAUAUAGCACAGGAGGCCAAAUUUAAGCCCUUGGAAGAUAAUCUGUACUCAGUUCAACUGUCCUGUUUAGGAGAUUGGGAGAGAGUUAUGCAUGAGGGACCUUGGAAUUUCCGAGGGGAUGUAUUGCUUCUUGCGCCUUAUGAUGGGGUCUCAAAACCUUCAUCCAUCAAGCUGGAGACGAUUGACAUAUGGAUCAUGUUCCAGAUCUGUUUGCUCACCUGGUUACUCCACUAG